GUUUCCUCAGAUUACUCCCAGGGUCCAACGGUGGCUGCUGCUGCCGGCACAGUCUGUGUCCUCUUGGUCGUUUUACUCCUUGUCUUCACUUACUUCUUUGUGAGAAAGAAGAGAGGUAGGAGCCCCGGCACAGCCAGGUCUCAGACUCCCUUUCCCGAGAACACGAGGACUCAGAGCCAGCCCGGUGAUAGCAAAGACCCAGACGUGCUCUACGCUGACCUGCAGCACACGGCCGGGCUCCAGCCGCCCAAGAAGAGCGCCCCAGAAGAACAUUCUGAAUAUGCUGCUGUUAAGGUAACCCAGGCCAUCGCCAGGUAGAGGGAGAAGGCAGCGAGGCUCUGGACACCCUCGGAGAAAGACUGUCGGAGGAGGAAGCAGCAGCUUUCUGCAGAACACAGCGCACAGUCAUCCAGGUCACACGAGGUCUGCCCCAUGGGGGGCCCAGAACUAACACACAGUCUCUUGUUCCCUGGCACCUUAUUGCGCUAUCGCUGGCGUUUGCCAGCGCGGGUGUGACUCAGAACCGGGGGAACUCAUGACCUGGAAAGUCAGCAGCCGCCUGGCA